GUCCGCGUGCUGGGCUUGUGCGACUGGCCGGACCAGCAACACAACAGCGCCGAGCCAGCAGUCACUGAACGGAAGGUUCUUUCGGGUCGUGACUUUCGAGGAAGAGCCUUUCGCCAUAAAGUCGACCUCCAACAACAAGACCACCUGGCGGGGCUUCUGCGUGGACUUCUUAGACGUUCUGGCCUACAAGCUGCAGUU